rnacentral:rRNA from 1 species
UUUCGGCGGUAUUUUAGUCCUUUCAGAGGAACCUGUCCUAUAAUUGAUAUUCCACGAUUAAAUUUACUUAUUUUAUUAAUUUAUAUAUCGUCGUAGGUUGAAUAUUUUAUUAGAAUUAUAAUAUUCAAGAUUAUUAAUGUAAUAAGUAAAUCAGAUCAAGAUGUAGUUUAUAAAUAAGAAGAGAUGGGUUACAAUAAAAUUAUUUAAAUGGUCUAUUAAAUUAUAUUUAAUAGUAAAGUGGAUUUGAAAGUAAUUUUAAUUAUUUUAUUAAAAUGAUUUUGGCUCUAAAAUAUGUACAUAUCGCCCGUCAUUUUCAUUAUAAAGUGGAACAAGUCGUAACAUAGUAGGUGUACUGGAAAGUGUGCCUAGAAUGGCAAAUUAGAGCUUGAAUAAAGUGUUUUAGUUACAUUAAAAGGUUUAUUGUGAAAAUCAAUAUAAUUUGAGUAUUUUAUAUUAUUUGAUAUUUUUAUUUAUAUUUAUUAUUUUUAUAAAAUAAUCUUUUGUUUAAUUAUUAAUAAAGAAAAAAUUAAAAUUUAUUAUAGAAAAUUAGUAUUGAAAAAGAAAUAGUUAUAUAUUAUUAAAAGAAUAAAUUAAUUUUAGUACCUUGUGUAUCAGGGAUUAUCAAAUAAAAAUUAGGAAGAUUAAUUUUCUCAAAUUUAAAAGAGCUAUAAAAAUAUAAUUAUUAUUGUAAUAAAAAUAUUAUUAAUAUUUUUAUAGAAAUAAAAUGUUAUUCGUUUUUAAAUAUAUUUAGUUUUUUAAGAAAUAAAUUUAAUUUAUUUAAUAUAAAUAAUUUUUUGUAUUUUUAAUUAAUUAUUAAUAUUAUUAAAUAUUCUUGGGGAUGAGCUUAAGAAUAAAAAUUUAAAAAUAUUUAUAUAGUGUAAAAAAAUAGGAUUAUAAAUUUUCAUUUUUAAAAUUUUGUUAUAAUUAUUUUAUUUUAUAAUAAAAUUUAUAUAUAGUAUUUUAAUUUGUUUAUUAAAAUAUUUAUUUAAACAGAUGAUAUAAAGAAAUUAUGAUAAUAUUAGUAUAAUAUUUAGUAUAUAUAAUUAAAAAUUUUUAGGUUUAAUAAAGGAAUUCAGCAAAUAAAUUUUUCACCUGUUUAAUAAAAACAUGUCCUUUUGAUUUUUAUUUAAGGUCUAACCUGCCCAAUGAAUUAUAAAUUUAAUGGCCGCAGUAUUUUGACUGUGCAAAGGUAGCAUAAUCAUUAGUUUUUUAAUUGAAAGCUAGAAUGAAGGGUUGAAUGAGAAAAAGACUGUCUCUAUUAAAAUUUUUAGAAUUUUAUUUUUAAGUUAAAAAGCUUAAAUAAAUUUUGAAGACGAGAAGACCCUAUAGAGUUUUAUAGUAUAAAUUAAUAAGGAUUUUUAGAAUUUAA